AUUGAACGCUGGCGGCAUGCCUUACACAUGCAAGUCGAACGGCAGCACGGGGGCAACCCUGGUGGCGAGUGGCGAACGGGUGAGUAAUGCAUCGGAAUGUACCCAGUAGUGGGGGGAUAACUAGUCGAAAGACUGGCUAAUACCGCAUACGCACUAUGGUGGAAAGCGGGGGAUCGCAAGACCUCGCGCUAUUGGAGCAGCCGAUAUCCGAUUAGGUAGUUGGUGGGGUAAAGGCCUACCAAGCCUGCGAUCGGUAACUGGUCUGAGAGGACGACCAGUCACACUGGGACUGAGACACGGCCCAGACUCCUACGGGAGGCAGCAGUGGGGAAUUUUGGACAAUGGGCGCAAGCCUGAUCCAGCAAUGCCGCGUGUGUGAAGAAGGCCUUCGGGUUGUAAAG
rnacentral:rRNA from 1 species